rnacentral:rRNA from 1 species
UACGAAGGGGGCUAGCGUUGUUCGGAAUUACUGGGCGUAAAGCGUGCGCAGGCGGCUUCUCAAGUCAGGGGUGAAAGCCCAGAGCUCAACUCUGGAAUUGCCUUUGAGACUGAGUGGCUUGAGUACGGGAGAGGUGAGUGGAAUUCCCAGUGUAGAGGUGAAAUUCGUAGAUAUUGGGAAGAACACCGGUGGCGAAGGCGGGUCUCUGGGCAGUAACUGACGCUGAGGAGCGAAAGCGUGGGUAGCAAACAGG